rnacentral:rRNA from 1 species
GUAAGGAAUAUUGGACAAUGGACGCAAGUCUGAUCCAGCCAUGCCGCGUGAAGGAUUAAGGUCCUCUGGAUUGUAAACUUCUUUUAUAAGGGACGAAAAAAGGCUUUUCUAAGUCGUCUGACGGUACCUUAUGAAUAAGCACCGGCUAACUCCGUGCCAGCAGCCGCGGUAAUACGGAGGGUGCAAGCGUUAUCCGGAUUCACUGGGUUUAAAGGGUGCGUAGGCGGGCAGGUAAGUCAGUGGUGAAAUCCUAGAGCUUAACUCUAGAACUGCCAUUGAUACUGUCUGUCUUGAAUAUUGUGGAGGUAAGCGGAAUAUGUCAUGUAGCGGUGAAAUGCUUAGAUAUGACAUAGAACACCUAUUGCGAAGGCAGCUUACUACGCAUAUAUUGACGCUGAGGCACGAAAGCGUGGGGAUCAAACAGGAUUAGAUACCCUGGUAGUCC